AGGAAGCCACAACUUGUAGAAGUCAAUCAAGAGCUUCCUGGCGCUGUGUCCCAUGUCCUGAGAUGUUUUCAGGGUCAGGAAUCUGUGUGUGUUGGGUCUUUCUGAAGUGGUAGCUCUGCAGCAGGGGCCAUCAAAGGACUGAUCCUGUCUCCAAGGGCCUCAGCUCUGCCCUUCGAUGAGGUAAAGAGGCCUGGGAUCCCAGCACACAGGAGCAAGAAGCAGGAGGUUUUCUACUUUGAG